rnacentral:rRNA from 1 species
CCGCGGGAUUAGAGUUUGAUCAUGGCUCAGAUUGAACGCUGGCGGCAGGCCUAACACAUGCAAGUCGAGCGGAAACGACACUAACAAUCCUUCGGGUGCGUUAAUGGGCGUCGAGCGGCGGACGGGUGAGUAAUGCCUAGGAAAUUGCCUUGAUGUGGGGGAUAACCAUUGGAAACGAUGGCUAAUACCGCAUAAUGCCUACGGGCCAAAGAGGGGGACCUUCGGGCCUCUCGCGUCAAGAUAUGCCUAGGUGGGAUUAGCUAGUUGGUGAGGUAAUGGCUCACCAAGGCGACGAUCCCUAGCUGGUCUGAGAGGAUGAUCAGCCACACUGGAACUGAGACACGGUCCAGACUCCUACGGGAGGCAGCAGUGGGGAAUAUUGCACAAUGGGCGAAAGCCUGAUGCAGCCAUGCCGCGUGUAUGAAGAAGGCCUUCGGGUUGUAAAGUACUUUCAGUUGUGAGGAAGGGGGUAGCGUUAAUAGCGCUAUCUCUUGACGUUAGCAACAGAAGAAGCACCGGCUAACUCCGUGCCAGCAGCCGCGGUAAUACGGAGGGUGCGAGCGUUAAUCGGAAUUACUGGGCGUAAAGCGCAUGCAGGUGGUUCAUUAAGUCAGAUGUGAAAGCCCGGGGCUCAACCUCGGAACUGCAUUUGAAACUGGUGAACUAGAGUACUGUAGAGGGGGGUAGAAUUUCA